rnacentral:rRNA from 1 species
GAUGAACGCUAGCUACAGGCUUAACACAUGCAAGUCGAGGGGCAGCAUGGUCUUAGCUUGCUAAGGCCGAUGGCGACCGGCGCACGGGUGAGUAACACGUAUCCAACCUGCCGUCUACUCUUGGACAGCCUUCUGAAAGGAAGAUUAAUACAAGAUGGCAUCAUGAGUCCGCAUGUUCACAUGAUUAAAGGUAUUCCGGUAGACGAUGGGGAUGCGUUCCAUUAGAUAGUAGGCGGGGUAACGGCCCACCUAGUCUUCGAUGGAUAGGGGUUCUGAGAGGAAGGUCCCCCACAUUGGAACUGAGACACGGUCCAAACUCCUACGGGAGGCAGCAGUGAGGAAUAUUGGUCAAUGGGCGCAGGACUGAACCAGCCAAGUAGCGUGAAGGAUGACUGACCUAUGGGUUGUAAACUUCUUUUAUAAAGGAAUAAAGUCGGGUAUGUAUACCCGUUUGCAUGUACUUUAUGAAUAAGGAUCGGCUAACUCCGUG